rnacentral:tRNA from 2 species
AAAAAAUUAGUUAAAUAUAUAACAUUAGUAUGUCAAACUGAAAUUAUUAUAAUUAUAAUAUUUUUUG